GAUGAACGCUAGCGGGAGGCCUAACACAUGCAAGCCGAGCGGUAUUGUUUCUUCGGAAAUGAGAGAGCGGCGUACGGGUGCGUAACACGUGUGCAACCUGCCUUUAUCUGGGGGAUAGCCUUUCGAAAGGAAGAUUAAUACUCCAUAAUAUAUUGAACGGCAUCGUUUAAUAUUGAAAGCUCCGGCGGAUAGAGAUGGGCACGCGCAAGAUUAGCUAGUUGGUGAGGUAACGGCUCACCAAGGCGAUGAUCUUUAGGGGGCCUGAGAGGGUGAUCCCCCAUACUGGUACUGAGACACGGACCAGACUCCUACGGGAGGCAGCAGUGAGGAAUAUUGGUCAAUGGGUGCAAGCCUGAACCAGCCAUCCCGCGUGAAGGACGACUGCCCUAUGGGUUGUAAACUUCUUUUGUAUAGGGAUAAACCUACCCUCGUGAGGGUAGCUGAAGGUACUAUACGAAUAAGCACCGGCUAACUCCGUG
rnacentral:rRNA from 1 species